rnacentral:lncRNA from 1 species
UGGGCUGCUCGUGCGGUCCGGGCCUGCCCUGCUCCAGCUCUGAGUGAGCCCACUUAGUCGCAUGCCAGGGGCCUCUGCGGCACGGGCCAGUAGGAGGCCAGAUUAAUCGCUAUGACAAGUGAUCUCCAAACCUCUGUGGCUGAACACAAUAAAAAGUCACUCACGACUUCCAGAAUAAACGACCAUGAGUGUCCUGGUCAGGUAGCUCUCCUGGGCGCUGUCCUCCCAGCAGUGACUCGGGGACCCGGGCUCCUUCCACACUGUGGCUCUGCCAUCACCUCGGGCCUCGGGUUCCUCCGCUGGAUUCUGUCUGUCUACCAGCAGACGAGGGAAGAGUGCUGGGCUCUGAGUGGCCUUUCCUUGGCCCGGGCCUGGCGGUAGAGCCCACGUCUACCACACUCCAUUGGCCAGAAUUCAGACACCAGCUACGAAGAAAGCUGGGAACUACAGUGUCGUUUUGCACCCAGGAAGGAAAGAAGUGGUUUGGCAAACCACCAGCCAGUCUCUCUUGUACGAGGCUCCAGUCUGUGUUUCCAGUCUCAGCUCCUAUGACUUCUUGGCCACCAUCUGCUAAGAGGAUUGUAUGAUUUGUUCACAAUUUUUCUUUCUCUAACCAUCGUUGCGUGGCUCUUCCUGGGCAGGUGUACUUCCCGGCCCUGCUGACUUUGGGACCAGCCAUGUGACUUGCUGUAACCCGUGGAGUAUGGGCAGACGCAGGGUGUGUCUGUGCACUGGGGCGCUUUCACUGUGGCCGUGUGGUUCGGCUUGGCCUCUUGCACGCCUGCGUUGCACCUUGAGAAGGGUAUGUUGCUCCUGUGGCCUGGAUCCUGGCAGGAGAGGCAUGUGAGCAGACCUGAACUGGACCCACAGGCUGGAGCAGAGAUGCUCAGCCAACUUGCAAACCUGUGAGCAGGAAACUAAAGCUUAUGGUUGUAGGCUGCUGCUGCUUUGGGGUUGUUUGUUACACAGCACUCUUGUGUCCUAGCUGAACCGUAUAGCUUACUGCCAUGAUGGAGAGAUGCCCACAUACCCUGAGCCACCCCACUCUCCCACGCUCCAUGAAGACUUGCUUCUGGCCCUCCUUAAAAGCCUUUCUUCUUGAUCCCUCCAGAGGCCAGGCCAGGGGCAGACCCUUCCACAGAGUGUCUCUUACUGUCCCCAGUCCUUGGGCAUUCAGAAGAAGCAGAGGCUACUGGCUCCUCAGUUCAGUUCUUGUCCACAGUUUUCCUGGUCAUCCUGUUUUCCCCACCACCUGGAGAGUGGUGCUUUUGAAGGCAGGAGCCACGCUAAUUCCCUCUUUCCUCUAGCCACUGCUCCUGUGUCCCCCACACAGUUGACAGUCAGACAGUGUUUGCUAAACUGGAUUGAUUUGCAUGUCUGUCCCUGUUAAUGGGAGGUCCGUAGGGCACAUCGAGUGCUGGCAGGCAUCCCUGAGAGUGCCGGCCGUGCUUGGUGCUCAGAUGAUGGGUCUGCCACUGCCUGUGAGGACGAGGGGCUGCGCCGCCUCCUGCGCUCUCGGCUGGAGGCCUAGGCUCAGCACGGGGCCAUCCGUCUCCCUCCCCGAGCCCUUGGUGUCCGAAGCCUGGGUCAGGAGGGAAAGCGGCAACCUCACAUCUUGGCCCGCACAUGCCUUGGGGAAGCCAGUGGACUUCGUCAGCAAUGGCCCCGGCUGCCAGCAUAAUCCGACUGUGGUCCUCAGAGCACCGUCUGCAGCUCGGGUCCUGUCCUGCACUGGAGGGAGAUCGUUUGCAUCAUGAUGCUUGGGGAUGCUCAGUGUUGGUGUCUGUGAGCCAGGUGACAGGGCCAUCUCUGGAGCAGAGAGGCCCCAGGCCCAGAUGGAGCCUUGGGCAGCAAAGGACAGCCCACUGACACGGACCAGCUGAGGCAGGAAAGGGACAAGACACUCGAGAGAGAGUCUCCACAGCAAGUACUGGGUUGAGGGACCCAGCAAGGCCGUGCCGGGCCAAGAUGCUGGACGAGUGAAUUGCCUGUGAGGAGCCACGCCUGGCAAAGACGGAAAAGGAAAAGGCUGUUAUCGACGGAGCAGGAGGGGUCCAGGCUGGAGGCUGGAGGGAAGUCACCACGGGCCCGGACGGUCAAGAUGGCUUCCUCCUUCCAUCUGGCCUUCUCUGCUCCACCUCUCCAAGGUGGGACAUGCUGUGUCAGCCCUGUGUGCUCCCAGGCCCCGCACCAGCAGCCCAGUCCCUGCUCCAGACUCACGGGAGGAUCUGAUUGGCUCGGCCCCUCCCUGGCGUGUGAUCUCCAGUGUGCAGUCAGCUGGGACCAGGGGGCACGUCCCUGCAUCCUGGGCUUUCCCAGGUCCCAUCUCUGCUUUGGCACUGUUCCCAGACAACGUGUGGAGCAGACACCCUAGGAGGGGGCUGCUGCCGGUGCUUGUGGUUGAUGGAACUCUCGAAUGCGGUGUUUCCCCAGCUGAGCCAGGCAGCUUCCCCUUCUGCAUUCUCCACGCCUGCGCACUGACUGCGCCCGUGGAGGAGGGCCCUGCUCCCUGGAUCUCCCCCUGCCAGGGCUGCAGGAGACUCCCCGGAGGUGUGUGGUCGGGGUGGGCUGUGGGAACCCUGAGGCACCCGGCUGAGCUGCGGGCGUCAAGCCUCUGUCUUCCCGGGUUUGCUUCUCCCUCUUUUCCAGUCUAGUUGGAACAUUAGCUGAGUGUCUGCUGUGUGCAACAAGCUCAGGAAAGAGGAUCGGGUGGGACAGAUCAGUGGAGGGGGCAGGUCCCAGCGACGCAGGCAGGGCCGGGCCCACCGCCUCAGUCCCUCCUCCUGGCCUGUGAGGUAGCCCCCCAGGCUGCUUUGCCCCAUACUCCGGGGUGUGGGAAGUUUCCGCGUCAUGGCCCCCCGCAGGACGGCUUCCCUCCCCCUCUCCCUUGCCCCCCAGGGCUUUGUAAGAGUCGCGUGGGACAGUGUGCAUGAAAGCUCUAAUUAAGAGUAAAGGAUUACAUGAGUGUAUUUUUCAGUCAAAACCAUAAAAGAAACCUUCCCUAAGGUUGGCCCAAGUGCUCCUGCUGAUGUGGGAGGAAGCUGGGUCUGGGGGCUGCAUCCUCCUCCCUGGCACGGAGUGUGUGCGAGCUUUUGGGGUGCUGAGGAAGGUGGGCCUUGAGGACCGGGCUGAGAGAGCUGGCUUUGAUCCUGUUGGCAGUGCUGUGUUGACAACAGUCUUCUGGGAGGGGACCAGCCCACGCAGAGCUGGGGUCCCACGUCCUUUCUCGGGGCUCUGAGUCAGUUCUCAGGACACCGUGUGGCGGCUCCCAGUGGGCGUGCCGGUUGUGCAUCCGAGUGUGCCACGGGGCAUAUGCUGCUCUCACGGCCCCUCUCCCCUCCACGGGCCGCAGUCCUGGACACGCUGGGAGAGCUUCUCCUGGCAGCAGGGCGGGGGGCUGUGCAGCCUCCCCCGCCGAGUGGCUUUGCCGCAUCCUUGCACACUCCUCCCCCAGACCCCACGCUUCACACCGCCUCCGCCUCUCGGCACUCCUCCUCUCUUCCUCGUUCAGGGCGCUGGGUUUUGGUGCUUGUUGCCCGCAGUGGCAAAGGGCAAGGAAUGACAGGUACCACCAAGGCUACUUGGCUGUUUAAGCAAUCAAAGUUUAUUGAUAAAGGGAAAAAGAACGAGGAGCAGGAACAAAGGGGAACAACAAAUCGGUACUCACAACAUCCACACCAGAAUCCGCCGGGGAAGUCCCAAUAGUCUGUAUGGCAGGUGGGAUGCCGAUUGUCCGGGUCUGAGGCAGAGCAUCCUCUCCUCAGCGAGACUCCCAAUUGUUCUAUGCUGUGACUCCCUUUUAUCCUGAGGUUCCUCUGGGUUCUGACUCAGGGUUUCAGACAUUUGGAUAAUUUGAGUUAUUUCUUCUUGUUCCCACAGAUGGGAUGCUUCUCUCUUUUUUGUUCCCAUGGAUGGGAUGUUUCUAAAGUCCCAUCAGGUGCCCGUCGGGGUGGCCAGCCUAGACAGGGAACAUGACGCAGGACAUAUUCUUUGUAACUUGUGCCUUACAGUCAGGGCUGAAGUGGCCGUCUUUGGCCCCGAGCCCAGACACAUUCCUUCACGUAGGGCGCAGGCCCAGUGUCCUUGGAAGGCGGGGAGGUCAAUGAACUCUGUAUAGUGCUGGAACCUGGUCUGAGGUCCAUCUCAGGCCCCUGAGUUCUGAGGUCACCUGGACCCCUCCCCAGCAUCGGGACCUCUGGACCUCUGAGAAUCAUCAGAUCGUACUGACAACGGCUGCCCAGAUGCUGGCUCGGUGGAAUCUUGGGUCCACGUCGGCCCCUUGUCUGUGCUGUUAGUCCGCUCCCGCGCCCUCCUGCCAUGGUGAGGACGUGUUCAGAACCCCCGAUCUACUGCAACAGCCAUCAGGGGAUAGAAACGAGGCUUUGCCCCUCAACUAGUCCCCUGACCUCUCACGAGGGACAGCACUGGACCUGGUUACUCACAAUGUCUGUUAACCGUGAAGUCUUUCCUGUGAGGUUGGGAGCUCCUCGAGAGAAGGUGGCAUGUCUUACUCAUGUUCCCGUCCUCAGAACCAAACAUGGUGUCUGUAACUGGUAAGUGUUAAUACAGCAGGGAUGGGUGCCCAGCCCAAGCCAGGCCAGCUUCUUAUGGAGCCAAGGUAGGGAGGGGAAGCUUUCCCUACGGCUGGAGCUGCUCAUCUGGAGGCUGAUGGCCUGGGGCUGCUGGUCGGCCUCUUGCAGCCACACAGAGCGAGCCUUCCUGAGAACGACGUCACUGCGGGAAGCUAUUCACGGGGAGAGGUAGGUUCCCAGUGACGACAUCAGGCACCUGGAUGUCAUUGACUUGAAGCUGAGAUGAGCCUCUCUUUAGGUUCAUAAGCCAAUGUAUUCCCACUUUAGUCUGAGCCAGAUGAACUGGGCCUCUGUUAUUUGCCACCAACAUCCUGACUACUCCAGGGAUCGUCCAUCGGUGCGUUAGCUGAGCAGGCACUCGGCCAGGCCCCGGAGAGGCCAACCCCGCCUCCCACUGCAGUCGCAUUCCUCCCGGCCAGCUCCAGGGCUAGCAGGGCUCGCCCGUUUCCACACUGUCACUCAUGCGGCCCUGGGCCCAGUGCUGCCAUGAAAGAUGGGUCUGGAACUGUCAUCAGAUUGCACAUUGUCCCCUGCGCCUGGUUAUGAAGUCUUUGGCAAAUCAGUUCUUUAUGGCCUUUUAAUCAGGAGGAGAUAAACAGGAGAAGGAGCUCAAAGAAAUUCUUCACAGAAGACUCCAAGCACUGUUCGUCCAGGAGGCCGUGGCUGCCCCCUGUGCAAAGGUUCCGGGAGGCUGGGAGCCCCAGAUCACAGGGGCGAAGGUCUGGGCUCUCAGGGGGCCGAGAAGGAGUGUGUGAGGGGAAGGGAGGAAGAAAACUGAGCAUCUUCGUUCCACGGCUAAGCUGGCCCGGGGUGGGCGGGGAGCGACAUGGGCCUGGGACUGGAGUCUGCAGAGCUGACCCUGGGCCUCCAGCCGCCUCCCUGACACAGUCACUCACGCUGGGCACCUGCUGCCCCCUUGCCAGAGUGGGGCUCUUGGUCCACGGUCGCAGGCCUCCUGCCUCUGAAAGUUUGCAACAGUAAGACUGCUCUCGGGUCCUCAUCGGUGGUGCGGUCUGUGUCGACGUGCGCCCUGACCUGCGGGGAAAUGCGGAAAACAGGCCCGCGUGGUUUUUCAUAAAGCUAUAUUUAUUCAAUUGAAAGGACUUCCUUUUAUUCUGUGAUGGCACCUUUCCCACUCCUCUGGCCUCAGAUAGUCCUUCCUGUGGUGAAAUGAUGGUGAUUAUAAGGAUUUGUUUACUUGGUAAAAUAAAAAGCUU